rnacentral:rRNA from 1 species
UACGGGAGGCAGCAGUGGGGAAUAUUGGACAAUGGGCGCAAGCCUGAUCCAGCCAUACCGCGUGGGUGAAGAAGGCCUUCGGGUUGUAAAGCCCUUUUGUUGGGAAAGAAGUCCAGCUGGUUAAUACCCGGUUGGGAUGACGGUACCCAAAGAAUAAGCACCGGCUAACUUCGUGCCAGCAGCCGCGGUAAU